GCCUACGGCCAUACUACCCUAAAUAUGCCCGAUCUCAUCUGAUCUCGGAAGCUAAGUAGGGUCAGGCCUGGUUAGUACUUGGAUGGAAGACUGCCUAGGAAUACUUGGUGUCGUAGGCU